rnacentral:rRNA from 1 species
UACGAAGGGGGCUAGCGUUGCUCGGAUUGACUGGGCGUAAAGGGCGCGUAGGCGGUUCGUACAGUCAGACGUGAAAUUCCUGGGCUCAACCUGGGGGCUGCGUUUGAUACGUGCGGACUUGAGUGCGGAAGAGGGUCGUGGAAUUCCUAGUGUAGAGGUGAAAUUCGUAGAUAUUGGGAAGAACACCGGUGGCGAAGGCGGCGACCUGGUCCGAUACUGACGCUGAGGCGCGAAAGCGUGGGGAGCAAACAGG